UCCGGAUCACAGAGACACUGGAUGUAACCCAGUGACCUCUGCAGCAGCCGUUUGCUGCUGGGAGUGCUCCUCCAGUAAUUGCCCUUUCUGAGGGGGAAUCCCACCCAUGUCAGAGGAAGGAAACCCAUAGCUUUAAAAUGCCACUUGAUCAGCUUUCCUGUUCACAUGUGCUGUCAAUCUGUCUUUGUCUUUCAGACUCAGUGGCUUCUGAGAGAAAUCUUUCACCCAUGCUUACUGUGAUCACCUCAAAACUUUGUUCCUUUAGUGAACUGAAUCCAUCAGGCUCCUUAUUCAAGGGACAUGGGAGAUGCAGUUCAUAGGAGAAACAGUCAUGGCCAUGCACAGGACUUCCUCUAUCAGACAGCUGACAGCACCUGAAGGGACACAUGCACCAAGCUGGUGGUGUUUAUUACACAGCUGUACACAAAGACUGAGUAGGAGUAAUGACUUUUCUCUGCAGAAAGAUACAGAACAUGCACUGUGUAAGCUGGAUGACAUCAAAUUAUGAUCUCAUGAGCAGGUCUUUGUUUCUCUGUGAGCCCUGGCUUAUCUUGUCUCCAACUGUUGGAGGUUCUGUGAGGAAGCCUCAGUAUUCUCUGCCAGGAUAAGACAAUGACAACGUAUGUUUUUUGCUGGAGCAGUCUUCACCAUUUGCCCCACACAGUACCUCUUCCUGUGAUAGUCUCCUGGCCUAAGGCAG